UACGUAGGGGCCGAGCGUUGUCCGGAGUUAUUGGGCGUAAAGCGCGCGCAGGCGGCUUCGCGCGCCCCGACGUGAAAGCCCCCGGCUUAACCGGGGAGAGUCGUUGGGGACGGCGGAGCUUGAGGGCGGGAGAGGUCGGUGGAAUUCCCGGUGUAGUGGUGAAAUGCGUAGAGAUCGGGAGGAACACCUGUGGCGAAGGCGGCCGACUGGGCCGACCCUGACGCUGAGGCGGCGAAAGGCGUGGGGAGCGAACGGG
rnacentral:rRNA from 1 species